AGAUGGUCAUUUUAUGCCAUGUAUCUUGGAGCAGUGGCACCAGGCCCAACCGGACAUGCCACCAAAGAUCAAAGUGCCGCCCCAUGAAGACAGCAUCGUGUACAGAUUAGUGGAUGCUGCUGCGGAGAUUCUGUGUGGCCAAGCAAAUGAAGACACUCUUGACCUUUAUGAAACACCAAGCUAUUUAUUAGACGAUGAUAGUCGCAAACGUUAUUGGCAGGUGAUCUUUCGGUUAACAUCUGAAUCUGAUGUACUUCAUCAGAUUUAGGGUGAUCUGUUAAGGACAAAACAAUCUGCACAGAAUAUAGAUGAACAAUCUGUGAUUACAGCCCUGCAAAAUUCCAGUCAAAUUUUAGUCACAUUUUUAAUGGCUGCCGUGAGAAAAGAGAUACAGAAAAUUGUGAAUUUAGAGCGAAUUGAGGAACAGAUGACAGAGAAGCUCCAAAAACUGUGCAAAUACUGGUACGCCAAGAGAGACAGAGUGGACUUUAUACUGGAGAGAACUUGGCAAGACUACGGAGCUGAUCAGUACAGUGAAGAUGCAUCUGACUUUGGAGAUUUUCAGCCUUCUUUUGGAUGACACAAUAUUAGCACUAAAUCAUAUGUGCUUUUCAACCUAAUAUACAAGUUUUAGAACCUUGUCAUUUUCAUACAUCUGUGCUAUGUUGUUAUUUUCUUUUUCGGUGAGUCUCAAAAAUCCUCUCAAGAAAAUGUUAAUGUCAUAUUUCACAUAGUUCAUAAAUUAUAUUUUGUUAAAGAAUAUAAAUGUAUAAACCCAUAAACCUGUUUUAGGACCAUUACGUUUUCUUGCAUUAUACAAUUAUUUUCAUGACAAUUAAGCAGAUUUUCACCUAAUUUCAACUUUUGCAAUGUAGGCUAAUGAAAAACAAAUAAAAAAGUUAUUCUGAAUACUGAAAUUCUAAAGAAAUUAUAUAUUAUUUAAAUUAUAAAUUAUUUAUAUGUUAUAUUAGUAUUGGUUGUACUGCUUUUAAUAUCUGAUUUAAAUAAAAAGUAAUUGUUUACUGUAUUGAAUUAAAUAUAAUACUGUAUUACAGUAAUGAUAACCUGCAAAUCAUCAUGUAGAAUAAUGGGAAAACUCAAAAGUAAAUGCACUGAUAUACUACAUUACGAAAUGUGCUUCGUAGUCAUACAAUGCAACAAAAUGCACAUAUAAAAACAAAAAUUCUGCAUGCAAAAUCUAUAUAUUUUUCUUUUGA